rnacentral:rRNA from 1 species
GACGAACGCUGGCGGCGUGCUUAACACAUGCAAGUCGAACGGAAAGGCCUGCUUUCCCUUGUGGAUUGCGGGUACUCGAGUGGCGAACGGGUGAGUAACACGUGAGUGAUCUGCCCCCAACUUGGGUAUAAGCCUGGGAAACUGGGUCUAAUUCCCGAUAGGACUGCAGGGUGGUGCCUGUGGUGGAAAACGAUUUUCUAGUGGUUGGGGAUGAGCUCGCGGCCCAUCAGCUUGUUGGUGGGGUAAUGGCCUACCAAGGCGGCGACGGGUAGCCGGCCUGGGGGGGUGGACGGCCACAUUGGGACUGAGAUACGGCCCAGAAUCCUACGGGAGGCAGCAGUGGGGAAUAAUGCACCAUGGGCGGGAGCCUGAUGCAGCGACGCCGCGUGGGGGAUGACGGCCUUCGGGUUGUAAACUCCUUUCGGCCGCGAGGAAGCCACCUGGUUGGAAGGGUGGUGACGGUAGUGGUAGAAGAAGCACCGGCUAACUACGUG